UACGGAGGGUGCAAGCGUUACUCGGAAUUACUGGGCGUAAAGCGCGCGUAGGUGGUGAGUUAAGUCUGUCGUGAAAGCCCCGGGCUCAACCUGGGAAUGGCGAUGGAUACUGGCUCGCUAGAGUGCGGUAGAGGAGAGUGGAAUUCCCGGUGUAGCAGUGAAAUGCGUAGAGAUCGGGAGGAACAUCAGUUGCGAAGGCGGCGCUCUGGACCAGCACUGACACUGAGGCGCGAAAGCGUGGGGAGCAAACAGG
rnacentral:rRNA from 1 species